rnacentral:rRNA from 1 species
AUAUCAAUAAGCGGAGGAAAAGAAACCAACAGGGAUUGCCCCAGUAACGGCGAGUGAAGCGGCAACAGCUCAAAUUUGAAAUCUGGCCCCCCGGGGGUCCGAAUUGUAAUUUGCAGAAGGUGCUUCGGGCGCGACGGCGGUCCAAGUUCCUUGGAAUCGGACGUCGAAGAGGGUGAGAAUCCCGUAUUUGGCCGAUCGUCAAGCCCACUGCGAAGCCCUUUCGACGAGUCGAGUUGUUUGGGAAUGCAGCUCCAAGCGGGUGGUAAAUUUCAUCUAAAGCUAAAUACCUGCCAGAGACCGAUAGCGCACAAGUAGAGUGAUCGAAAGAUGAAAAGCACUUUGAAAAGAGAGUCAAACAGCACGUGAAAUUGUUGAAGGGGAAGCGCUUGCAACCAGACUCGCACGCGGGGGCUCAGCCGUUCCUCGGGACGGCGCACUCCCCCGCGAUCGGGCCAGCAUCGGUUUCGGCGGCCGGACAAAGGCCCGGGGAAAGUAGCUCCCUCGCGGGAGUGUUAUAGCCCCGGGUGCAAUGCGGCCCGCCGGGACCGAGGACCGCGCUUUUGCUAGGAUGCUGGCGUAAUGGUUGCCAGCGACCCGUCUUGAAACACGGACCAAGGAGUCGACCGGCGACGCGAGUGUUCGGGCGUAAAACCCGGGCGCGCAAUGAAAGUGAACGGAGGUGGGAGCCCCCGGGCGCACCAUCGACCGAUCCUGAUGUCUUCGGAUGGAUUUGAGUACGAGCGCCGCCGGUCGGACCCGAAAGAUGGUGAGCUAUACGUGGAUAGGGUGAAGCCAGAGGAAACUCUGGUGGAGGCUCGCAGCGGUUCUGACGUGCAAAUCGAUCGUCAAAUCUGCGUAUAGGGGCGAAAGACUAAUCGAACCAUCUAGUAGCUGGUUCCUGUCGAAGUUUCCCUCAGGAUAGCAGCAACGAAGAACAGUCUCAUGAGGUAGAGCGAACGAUUAGAGGCCUUGGGGCGGAAACCGCCUUAACCUAUUCUCGAACUUCGAAUAUGUGAGAAGUCCCUGUUACUCGAUUGAACGGGGACACUUGGAUGUGUCGUUGCUAGUGGGCCAUUUUUGGUAAGCAGAACUGGCGAUGCGGGAUGAACCGAACGCGCAGGUUAAGGUGCCGGAAUGCACGCUCAUCAGACACCACAAAAGGUGUUGUUUCAUUAGGACAGCAGGACGGUGGCCAUGGAAGUCGGAACCCGCCAAGGAGUGUGUAACAACUCACCUGCCGAAUGAACCAGCCCUGAAAAUGGAUGGCGCUCAAGCGUGCUACCUAUACCUCGCCGCCGGGGUAGAAACGAUGCCCCGGCGAGUAGGCAGGCGCGGGGGUCCGUGACGAAGCCUCGGNAGCGAUCCCGGGUCGAACGGCCCCCGGNGC